rnacentral:rRNA from 1 species
GGAAUCUUCGGCAAUGGGGGCAACCCUGACCGAGCAACGCCGCGUGAGUGAAGAAGGUCUUCGGAUCGUAAAACUCUGUUGUUAGAGAAGAACAUGAGUGAGAGUAACUGUUCAUUCGAUGACGGUAUCUAACCAGCAAGUCACGGCUAACUACGUGCCAG